rnacentral:lncRNA from 1 species
UGCCACUCCUGCAGUGCCCAGCCAGCAAUAAUUUGGCUAUUCAAAGAGAAGAAAACACAAACCUACCUGAAAAAGGAGCUCCCAGGCACACACACUGACACCGGAGAGUCACAACGCAUCUGCACUCACAGCAAAUGGGAGGAGAGGUAAAAUGACACAUCAAGGAAAAUGCUAGCUCAGCUCACAUGACCUACUUUCUGCCUCCUUGCUUGCGGGACACAGUCCAGCCAGAAGAGACUGUCUGCUGCUAUGAGUGCUCCGGUUUCCAGGAGGGAUGAGGAGAGCCUGUCCAGCAGGACCUGGGCUGCUUUGCAUGGGCAGGAGUGGAAGGAAGCACAAAGGACCCACUGUUAUCAGCAGUUUAAGUCCAGCUUCAUAGACCAGGUCUGCAAAAUGUUGACAUGAAGCUGAGGAGGAGGGUGUGAAUCACUUAAAGCUGCUGUUGUCACUGAACUCUCUGCAGUGUGAAAGCAGAGCCUGAGGUGCUGGGC